rnacentral:rRNA from 1 species
ACGGGAGGCAGCAGUGGGGAAUAUUGGACAAUGGGGGGAAACCCUGAUCCAGCGACGCCGCGUGAGUGAAGUAGUAUUUCGGUAUGUAAAGCUCUAUCAGCAAGGAAGAAAAUGACGGUACUUGACUAAGAAGCUCCGGCUAAGUACGUGCCAGCAGCCGCGGUAAUACGUAUGGAGCAAGCGUUAUCCGGAUUUACUGGGUGUAAAGGGGGCGUAGACGGCGAAGCAAGUCUGAAGUGAAAUGCCGGGGCUUAACCCCGGAACUGCUUUGGAAACUGUUUUGCUAGAGUGCAGGAGAGGUAAGCGGAAUUCCUAGUGUAGCGGUGAAAUGCGUAGAUAUUAGGAGGAACACCAGUGGCGAAGGCGGCUUACUGGACUGUAACUGACGUUGAGGCUCGAAAGCGUGGGGAGCAAACAGGAUUAGAUACCCUGGUA